rnacentral:tRNA from 1 species
CAAGGAAUAGUUUAAGUAGAAUUUCAGCUUUGGGUGCUGAGGGUGGGGCUUAUGCUUCUUCCUUGAAA